GGGGCUAUAGCUCAGUUGGUUAGAGCGCAUCCCUGAUAAGGAUGAGGUCACAGGUUCAAAUCCUGUUAGCCCCACCA
rnacentral:tRNA from 2 species